AUCUGCGGCCAUAGAACCAUUGAAAGCACCGCAUCCCGUCCGAUCUGCCCAGUCAAGCAUGGUAUCGCCUAGUCAGUACUGCCCUAACUGUUUGCGGCCAGCUU
rnacentral:rRNA from 1 species